rnacentral:snoRNA from 1 species
UAGCGAUGUGGACAAUCCCAAAGAAGGACCUUGAAGCGUUCUCAAGCAUGAUAUAGAUUUUCAUCAGGCUUCUGUUUGAAGCUUACUAUCUCAUUGCGAAGCCU